ensembl:snRNA U6 U6 spliceosomal RNA
UGACUUCAGCAGUAAAUACACUAAAACUGGAAUGAUACAGAGAAGAUGAGCAUGGUCUCUGCACAAGGAUGACAUGCAAAUUCGUGAAGUGUUCUAUAUAUUU